rnacentral:rRNA from 1 species
AGUCGGGAAUUUUGCCCAAUGGACGAAAGUCUGAGGCAGCAACUCCGCGUGAGGGAUGACGGCCUUCGGGUUGUAAACCUCUUUUCUCAGGGAAGAUACAAGACGGUACCUGAGGAAUAAGCCACGGCUAACUACGUGCCAGCAGCCGCGGUAAUACGUAGGUGGCAAGCGUUGUCCGGAUUUACUGGGCGUAAAGAGCGCGCAGGCGGCUGGGCAAGUCCGAUGUGAAAGCUUCCGGCUCAACUGGAAAAUUGCAUCGGAAACUGCUCGGCUUGAAGGUGGGAGAGGGUAGCGGAAUUCCCGGUGUAGUGGUGAAAUGCGUAGAUAUCGGGAGGAACACCAGUGGCGAAGGCGGCUACCUGGCCCACUCUUGACGCUGAGGCGCGAAAGCUAGGGGAGCAAA